ACACGACUACAUUAGAUACCCGUGUAGUCCCAGCCGUAAACUAUGCUCGCUAGGUGUCAGGGACGGUGCGACCGUUUCUGGUGCCGCAGGGAAGCCGUGAAGCGAGCCACCUGGGAAGUACGGUCGCAAGGCUGAAACUUAAAGGAAUUGGCGGGGGAGCACUACAACGGGUGGAGCCUGCGGUUUAAUUGGACUCAACGCCGGAAAUCUUACCGGGACCGACAGCAACAUGAAGGCCAGGCUGAAGACUUUGCCGGAUUAGCUG
rnacentral:rRNA from 1 species